UGGGGAAUAUUGCACAAUGGGGGAAACCCUGAUGCAGCGACGCCGCGUGAAUGAAGAAGGUAUUCGUAUCGUAAAGUUCUGUCCUAUGGGAAGAUAAUGACAGUACCAUAGAAGAAAGCUCCGGCUAAAUACGUGCCAGCAGCCGCGGUAAUACGUAUGGAGCGAGCGUUGUCCGGAAUUAUUGGGCGUAAAGGGUACGCAGGCGGUUUAAUAAGUCGAAUGUUAAAGAUCGGGGCUCAACCCCGCAAAGCAUUGGAAACUGAUAAACUUGAGUAGUGGAGAGGAAAGUGGAAUUCCUAGUGUAGUGGUGAAAUACGUAGAUAUUAGGAGGAAUACCAGUAGCGAAGGCGACUUUCUGGACACAAACUGACGCUGAGGUACGAAAGCGUGGGGAGCAAACAGG
rnacentral:rRNA from 1 species